rnacentral:rRNA from 1 species
GGGCGGUGGUAGGGGGGCGGGGAGCUUAAGAGGAAGUGUCAGGGGUGAAGCGGGGCGUGACUAGGCUGCCCCCGGCAGUGCCGGCCGCUGGCGGCGCAUGCACGAAAGGGGGUGGAAUAGGAGCCCGGGGCGUGGCUCAGCGCGGCGGUGUCGAACUUAGCUCCGGCGGUAGCUUGGGAUCGGCGGCGGGGAGCUAAGGAGAGGCUGUAGCUGUAGCUGUAGCCGCCGCCGUGCCUCCGCCCUAGGUCCGCUGCAGCGCAGCUGGCCAUGGGCGCGCAUAGUGCCACAACUCAAACCUAGGAGAUGUAGUCGACUUCAAUAACAUCAUCGUACAGGUGCUUCCUUUGUUCCGAAUUUCUUCAAUUAAGACAACCCUACUUUCUAACCCGAUUAUAAGUCUGACUAUAACAACCAGAUUAAUAUUUCUUCGAACCGUAAGGACUGAUGUAGUCUAAGGCACGACAUACGUGCAGUACCUUGGUAUAGACGUUCCUUCAUAGGUUGGUAGGUGCCCACCUGGGUACCGACUACGAGGGGUGUUUCCGCGAACUUCCACGAUUUAAAAAAUCCAAUGGACUUUUUUUCUCAGUUUGGUAGGUAUAGGGCUCACAACGGUGCUAGAAACCUAGGUACACCUGAGGCCAACCAAGUAGGGUACCGACCGAAUAGAAGAAAUCGGGCGGUGUCCCUUGGUAGGUCGACCAAUUAGGGUAGUCGUCGUGUAGCAAGGUUGAGGGGAGUUAGCCUUCCUUCGUGGACAGGUUCCGGUACAACGAACUGUACUCACUCUCGUUGAAGUGACAACGACAGUAGGUAGCGCUGGUUUUUCCUAUGGUUCACUGUGCGUUUCCUUCAUUUUCGACCAGCAAACAGCUAAGUUUUGUGUAAAACCACCUACAGAAGUUCGUGGCUUCCGUUGAAAUGUGGUAACUACAUAUACCGUGCCAGCUCCACACCCGUCUCGGAGGGGCAAGUACCGGUCUACUACUGAAGGGGGUCCACCUUGGCGUAUACGUGUUGGAGCAGGUGAUGGUUGUGGUCUUCAAGUUGACAGACCACCUCUGGGGCAGGCCUGUGGAGUAUUCCCAGUUCGCGGUCAGCGUCUUGUUCAAACGCGACACCCAGGAGCUGUCCCUCUGGAGAAGGAAGCUCGCCUGGUCGCUGUAACCCCUUAAGCCCGACAAGCAGUCGGUGAUGUCGAGCAAGACAAAGGGCCGGUUCCUGGUAGGCAUGGACUUCCGUUUGACGCAGAUGAAGUAGCUGCCGAUGUUGUUGUACACGCGCAAGUUGGAACUCGUACCCUGGUUCCUCGAGCAUCUUCGGGAGCUUUGGCGACGGGGACGAGUCUCAGUCGUUCUGAAAAUGCCCGCGGUCGGAGCUCGUCUCGGCAAGGAUACCAAUUAGGGAAGAGACUUCACUAAGUUGCACACGCUUCGACUUUGACCGCACAUGGAUAUAGGAUCUUUGGCCAUGAGACUUGGUGAAUGCAUAUUGAUCAUAUUCAUAACCUGCAUAAGGACCAUGAAAACACCGUUUUUGGUAUACCGACUUCAAACUUAACUCGUCGGCCAGCAACGCACACAAACAAAACAUAUAUAUUAUAUACGUUGACCGAACACAAAAACCUGUUUCAACAUAAUGAUCAGGACCCAAACCGUAAGAGGGAGGAACAGGGUCCACGGUCACUGUGUACGUCUUAUAGACCAGCGUAUAGACACACCGUCACUGUACUCGUCACGUAAAGGUGCUUUUUUCAGACAUGAGAGGGUCCUCAUUAAACCAAAGAACGCUUAAACCUUCAUUGAAGGUGAGCCAGUCCUUAAGUCUUCGGCCUUCACAACGGCACUCGUGGGUUGCGCCAACGGCUAAUAGGGGCGAAGAAAGGGGCGCAAAAGGCUCGUCCACGUCGGCGAGACAGGUUAUAUUCGGUUGGCGUAGAGUAGGGCACAGCUCUAGUUGGGUUGCGCAGUUUGUGCACGCAGCGGUAAGGGGUGAAAGAGUCCGGUGUCGCCGCCGUGGUCGAGCUAGAGCGGGCGCUGGUGGCGCGGUACCUCGGCCGGCGCUGCAGGAUGGGCCACCGCGCCCUGGGCGGCGGCGCCGGCCGCGGCGUCUGCCGCGUCGACCCGCCGCCAGGCCGCCGCGGCGUCGGGCCGCCCACCCGCGCGACCCGCGACACCCGGCAGCACAGGGAGCAGGAGCGGCGGUCGAAGCGCACCCCGCACAUGGUCCGCGCCGUGGCCGGCGCCUCGGAGCGGAUGCAGCAGCAGUGGAUGAUAGAGGAGCGGCACGAGAUGACGACGGAGCCCUUCGACUCGGACGACGCCGCGCUGCUGGGCCGCCGCCGCGGGCUCGCCGCGGCCCAGGCCGAGCGGCACACCCAGCAGAGGCACCGCAAGCGGUUGCAGUAGCGGCGCGCGCAGCGGCUGAGCUACGGGCUGGCGCCCGAGGUCUAGCGGCAGACCCACCAGGAGCGGCGGCCGUAGCCGCAGCGGAAGAUGAAGAAGAAGCAGGCGCUCCCGCGGGCGCUACUCCAGUGGCCCGUCGCUUCCCUCCGUCUCGAGGUGGUCCACAGGGGCCUCGUCUCCCAGACUCCGCUCCGCUCGAGCUCAGUUGAGACGGUACCUACCUACCUUCUACAUCAUAUCGGUAACGAAGCAAAAAAGAAUUAACACAUUUGAAAAAAAAAUUCGAACAAUAAAAGCCGCUCGACGACACACCGACACCGACAGUCAGCUGUGAGCUGCUGCACGACCCCAAGCGACCUUAGUGACUGCACACCCCGACGUUUAGUCGACCGGGCGUACAGUCAAAAUGUGAUCCAGUGGAGUCGGUUUAGACUUGCGGUAUGAGCCACAUUGUAAACAAAAGAAAACGACAUUUCAAACUGGCUGCACACAUAGAUAAGCUGGUGCAGAAGCAUGACGACUAAAAAGCCACGCAAUAGAGAAGUCCCGUUCAUCAGGCGUUCCAAACUAUUUCAGUUCGAAAUAUCUCAAAC